rnacentral:rRNA from 1 species
GAUGAACGCUAGCGGCAGGCUUAAUACAUGCAAGUCGAGGGGCAACAGGGGUAGCAAUACCUGCUGGCGACCGGCAAACGGGUGCGGAACACGUACAGAACCUUCCUUUAAGCGGGGAUAGCCCAUAGAAAUGUGGAUUAAUACCCCACUAGUAAUACUAGCUGGCAUCAGUUGGUAUUUAAAGAUUUAUCACUUAAAGAUGGCUGUGCGGCUGAUUAGGUAGUUGGUCGGGGUAACGGCCCACCAAGCCAACGAUCAGUAACUGGUGUGAGAGCACGACCAGUCACACGGGCACUGAGACACGGGCCCGACUCCUACGGGAGGCAGCAGUAAGGAAUAUUGGUCAAUGGACGCAAGUCUGAACCAGCCAUGCCGCGUGAAGGAUGAAGG